UCCCAUCAUUCAUGCAUUUGUUUCCUUCCUUUCAUUCCCGAAAAUGCUCUUUGUUCCCUCUUUUACUUGUCUUUCCUUAUCUUUGAGGAUUCAGUUAUUCAGAGAAGGGAAGCACUCAAGGCUGAUCUGUUGCCCCACCACAUGCUCCCACAUUGCCUCUGCGUUUCCCCAGUUAUAGCAGAGAUUAACUUCAUUUCUGUGGUUUCUGACAUUGUCUGCUGAGCCUUGAAAAUACAAGCAAAAUUUGGAAGACAAACUGUUAAGGAGCAUGUUAGUCUUUAAAGCUCUUCCACAUCAGCAUAUAUAAAACGUCUUAGUUUUUUUUAAAUUUGUGGAUAAUGUAUGUUUUUUUCACAUACAACAUGAAGUUUUAAAGUAUAUAGAUAUUGUGUAAUAGUUAAAUCUAUGUAAUUAACAAAUUACCUCACAUAGUUAUCAUAGAUGAGAGCACUUAACAUUCACUC
rnacentral:lncRNA from 10 species